rnacentral:rRNA from 1 species
UACGUAGGGUGCGAGCGUUGUCCGGAAUUAUUGGGCGUAAAGGGCUCGUAGGCGGUUUGUCGCGUCGGGAGUGAAAACUCAGGGCUUAACCCUGAGCCUGCUUCCGAUACGGGCAGACUAGAGGUAUGCAGGGGAGAACGGAAUUCCUGGUGUAGCGGUGAAAUGCGCAGAUAUCAGGAGGAACACCGGUGGCGAAGGCGGCCAUCUGGGACAACACUGACGCUGAGGAGCGAAAGCGUGGGGAGCGAACAGG